rnacentral:rRNA from 1 species
UACGGAGGGAGCUAGCGUUGUUCGGAAUUACUGGGCGUAAAGCGCGCGUAGGCGGCUUUGUAAGUUAGAGGUGAAAGCCCGGAGCUCAACUCCGGAACUGCCUUUAAAACUGCAUCGCUUGAAUCCAGGAGAGGUGAGUGGAAUUCCGAGUGUAGAGGUGAAAUUCGUAGAUAUUCGGAAGAACACCAGUGGCGAAGGCGGCUCACUGGACUGGUAUUGACGCUGAGG